rnacentral:rRNA from 1 species
UGGGUGUAAAGGGUGUGUAGACGGUAUAUUAAGUUUGUUGUUAAAUCCUCUGGCCUAACCAGAGGCUUGCGAUGAAAACUAAUAAACUUGAGGAUGGAAGAGAGAAGCGGAAUUCUCGGAGUAGCGGUAAAAUGCGUAGAUCUCGAGAGGAACACCGAUGGCGAAGGCAGCUUCUUGGUCCAUUCCUGACGUUGAGACACGAAAGCGUGGGGAGCAAACAGGAUUAGAUACCCUGGUAGUCCACGCUGUAAACGAUGAUCACUGGAUGUCAGUUUUGCUUUGCAAAAUUGGUAUCGAAGCUAACGCGUUAAGUGAUCCACCUGGGAACUACGAUCGCAAGAUUAAAACUCAAAGGAAUUGACGGGGGUCCGCACAAGCGGUGGAACACGUGGUUUAAUUCGACACUACGCGAGAAACCUUACCUGGGCUUGACAUGCUUUUGACAGCUGUAGAAAUACAGUCUUUUGAACUUCGGUUCAGACAGAUGCACAGGUGCUGCAUGGCU